rnacentral:rRNA from 1 species
AGAGUUUGAUCCUGGCUCAGAUUGAACGCUGGCGGCAGGCUUAACACAUGCAAGUCGAGCGGUAACAUUUCUAGCUUGCUAGAAGAUGACGAGCGGCGGACGGGUGAGUAAUGCUUGGGAAUUUACCAUUUGGUGGGGGACAACAGUUGGAAACGACUGCUAAUACCGCAUAAUAUCUAUUGAUCAAAGGUGGCCUCUUCUUGAAAGCUAUCGCCAAAUGAUGAGCCCAAGUGAGAUUAGCUAGUUGGUGAGGUAAUGGCUCACCAAGGCGACGAUCUCUAGCUGGUCUUAGAGGAUGACCAGCCACACUGGAACUGAGACACGGUCCAGACUCCUACGGGAGGCAGCAGUGGGGAAUAUUGCACAAUGGGCGCAAGCCUGAUGCAGCCAUGCCGCGUGUAUGAAGAAGGCCUUAGGGUUGUAAAGUACUUUCAGUCGUGAGGAAAGGGUGUUGCUUAAUACGUAACAUCUGUGACGUUAGCGACAGAAGAAGCACCGGCUAACUCCGUGCCAGCAGCCGCGGUAAUA